CUCAGGACGAACGCUGGCGGCGUGCUUAACACAUGCAAGUCGAACGGAAAGGCCCUGCUUGCAGGGUACUCGAGUGGCGAACGGGUGAGUAACACGUGGGUGAUCUGCCCUGCACUUCGGGAUAAGCUUGGGAAACUGGGUCUAAUACCGGAUAGGAACCAUCUUAGUGUGGUGGUUGGAAAGUUUUUUCGGUGUAGGAUGAGCUCGCGGCCUAUCAGCUUGUUGGUGGGGUAAUGGCCUACCAAGGCGGCGACGGGUAGCCGGCCUGAGAGGGUGUACGGCCACAUUGGGACUGAGAUACGGCCCAGACUCCUACGGGAGGCAGCAGUGGGGAAUAUUGCACAAUGGGCGCAAGCCUGAUGCAGCGACGCCGCGUGGGGGAUGAAGGCCUUCGGGUUGUAAACUCCUUUCGCUAGGGACGAAGCUUUUUGUGACGGUACCUAGAUAAGAAGCACCGGCUAACUACGUGCCAGCAGCCGCGGUAAUACGUAGGGUGCGAGCGUUGUCCGGAAUUACUGGGCGUAAAGGGCUCGUAGGUGGUUUGUCGCGUCGUCUGUGAAAUUCUGGGGCUUAACUCCGGGCGUGCAGGCGAUACGGGCAUAACUUGAGUGCUGUAGGGGUAACUGGA
rnacentral:rRNA from 1 species